UACGUAGGGGGGCAAGCGUUGUCCGGAUUUAUUGGGCGUAAAGAGCGUGUAGGCGGCCGUACAGGUCAGCUGUGAAAACUCGAGGCUCAACCUCGAGACGUCGGUUGAAACCGUACGGCUAGAGUCCGGAAGAGGAGAGUGGAAUUCCCGGUGUAGCGGUGAAAUGCGCAGAUAUCGGGGAAGAACACCCGUGGCGAAGGCGGCGACCUGGGCCAAUAUUGACGCUGAGGUGCGAAAGCGUGGGGAGCAAACAGG
rnacentral:rRNA from 1 species